rnacentral:rRNA from 1 species
AACGAACGCUGGCGGCAGGCCUAAUACAUGCAAGUCGAACGCCUGUAGCAAUACAGGAGUGGCAGACGGGUGAGUAACACGUGGGAACGUGCCCUUUGGUACGGAACAACUCCGGGAGACUGGAGCUAAUACCGUAUGUGCCCUUCGGGGGAAAGAUUUAUCGCCAAAGGAUCGGCCCGCGUCUGAUUAGCUAGUUGGCGGGGUAAUGGCCCACCAAGGCGACGAUCAGUAGCUGGUCUGAGAGGAUGACCAGCCACACUGGGACUGAGACACGGCCCAGACUCCUACGGGAGGCAGCAGUAGGGAAUAUUGGACAAUGGGCGAAAGCCUGAUCCAGCCAUGCCGCGUGAGUGAUGAAGGCCUUAGGGUUGUAAAGCUCUUUCGCCAGGGACGAUAAUGACGGUACCUGGAUAAGAAGCCCCGACUAACUUCGUGCCAGCCGCCGCGGUAACAC